rnacentral:tRNA from 1 species
AGUUUUAUAUUUUUAAAAAAAUUAUUAAAUUGCAAGUUUAAAGAUGGUAUUUGCCUAAGACUU